AGCUGCAGUAUCCUGACUGUACAAAGGUAGCAUAAUCAUUAGUUUCUUAAUUGGAAGCUGGAAUGAAUGGUCGAAUAAGGAGAUGACUGUCUCUUUUUAAUUAAAUUGAAUUUUAUUUUUAAGUUAAAAAGCUUAAAUUUUGUAGAAAGACGAGAAGACCCUAUAGAGUUUAAUAAAUUUUUAUUUUUAAAUUUUAGGGUUUUAUUAUAUAGAAAUUUAAAUUUAUUUUGUUGGGGUGAUAUUAGAAUUUAAUAAACUUCUUUUUUUAAGUCAUUGAUUUAUGUAUAAAUGAUCCUUUAUUUUAGAUUAAAAGAUUAAAUUACCUUAGGGAUAACAGCGUAAUUCUUUUUGAGAGUUCUUAUCGAUAAAAGAGAUUGCGACCUCGAUGUUGGAUUAAAGUUAAAUUUUGGUGUAGAAGCUUUAAAUUUUAAGUCUGUUCGAC
rnacentral:rRNA from 1 species